AAAGGUCUCCCUCCUCCAACGGCUAAUUUUCCCUUUUCUCUCGCUCCUUUGUCCUCUCCUCCAUUUCCAAUCCAAAACCCUCUGAAUCUCUUUCUCGUUCUCCUCCUCUCUCUCUCCUCCACUUCUCUCCUUUUCUUUCUAGAUUUCGCACCCAUGAAGCACUUCAUGCAGCCAAGAAACACGAUCUUGAGGGAGACGACGAUAGAGUUUCUGGCGUCGCCCAACCCUAGCACGGCCAAGCCUCAGCUGUUGCGAAAGCGGAGGGGCUCCAAGGAGAACGCGCCAAGCUCCGGCCAUCGCGAAAGCAGAAGGGCUCCAAGGAGACCGCUCCGCUGUCGGAUCCGAAAUCGUUGCUCCCGAUUCCAGAGCACUCGCCGGAUCUCCGCUGCCAAGUUGAAGAGCCCACUCCCGCCACAACCACCGUCGUCGAAUCCUCUCAAGAGAAAGCUGAGCAUGGAAAGGAUUCCCGAGAACUCCGUAAUUGGAACAUGCGAAUCUGGUGUCCAAUGUCUUUUUUUUCACCGCACAUAGAACUGCAAGGGAAUAUACUCAAGGAGACCCAAAAGAUCGAUAGGCUUGGUGAUCUCAAUUAAACAAUGGUACAACAUUUUCUGACUUGGUUCGAUGAAACAUUCUCCACAACUUACAAGUCGAUGGUAUUAGAUGGACAUGAAUGUAAAGAUGCUUGCUUGUGGAGGUUUUGGAUAAAAAGCAACAUACUGAACAAG